UUGCAAUAAUUUCACAUUCAAUAUUCAAAUUAAUGUACAAACAACUUUUUUUUUUUUUAUGACUGAAGGCCAGUAUCACUGAUACCAAUACUGAUUUCUCUAUUAAAUUGAGAAAUUAUCAAUUUUUUCCACUCCCGUAUUUACCUAUUGACUAUAGCCAUUCAGCAUUAGAGUAUAAUUGAGAGAUAUCAAUUUAUUACACUUUUAAAAAAUAACUUAAAACAAUCUUCACAUAAACCCAUUAUAAUAAAUGUCAUAUUUACCUGUACCCUUUAGCAGAAAUAUACAGAAAUUGAAAUUAUUAAACACUAAAUACUAAAUUAAAUAUAGAUGAAUCCUUAAAACUAUAAAAGUUCUUUUUUCCUCUUUUUGUUUCUUUGUCAUUUGAUUAAUAGACAUCACAGCAGCUGGUUAUUAGGUUAUUUUGGCUGUUAUUUCUUUAAGCUGCCGCUGCUGAACGUGACUCCGAUCUGACACGCAUCAUAUUUUCUCUCAACUCUUUUUACCAUUUCUGACACACUUCAGGUCAUAAAGUCUCUAUCAAUGAGCUGACGAGUUGAAUCGGGUGUGUUAAGUGAGGGAGACAGUGUUCUUAGACAUGUUCUUAAAUGUUACUCAUAUAAAAUAUAUUACAAGCAAGCACAGUUUUAAGGCAGCUUUAAUCGCCUUUUUGGUAACAUCAUGAGUUAACUGACCAUGACGUUGAUGCACGUAAUUAAUUUCGCGCUUUGAUAUGAAAUGAUACAGGGCCAGUGUACUGACAAAUAAUGCUACCUAUCAGAUUAUGCUACCAACACUGUAUUUAUCCUACUGUAAGGGUAGGUUUAGGGUGGGGGUAGGUGUACAUGUUAAUAAAGCCUCACACCUUAUUAAUAUCAUGCUGGAAGCAAAAACAGACAGGUAGCACUUUUUGCUAUCGAAUUAUGCUUUGUGCCAAUUGAGCACGCGCUGCGAGAACAGUACUGUUUCCGCACUGGUUUGACUCGCGCCUGCCGCUGAAGUGAAGAGAAGUGGAGCGCGCGUCUGAAAUGUCUCCCGUUUGAUGUGGUUGUAAAGACGUUCUGCGACUGAAUAAAUUCACUUCUUGUCAAGAGAAAAAGUGACAGAAACAGUAGUUAUUAGUAAAUUGGAGACCCUUGCCAGCGGAUAGUGGUACUGGUGAUGGUGGACUGCCUGGUCUGAGACUGAAGAAUGAAGCGAGUGAAGCAGACCUAUGCCGUCUGUCUCCUAACAAACAGGCACCAGAUCCUGGGCCCCGGCCAGAGGGGAGCCCUGCCACCCAAACUGCCAUCUCUCCCUCGCCCCUAGAGCCUAGCAGGGAGGCGAACGGCCACACGCUGUCUGACAGAAAGACAGAGAGAGCAAAGCCAGCGGGCCAUAUGUGUCUGGUUGUGAGAGGAACUCAAACCACAGACUGUCCAACUCAGAAAUGCUGCAGCUGCCCAGCUCUUCCUCAUGGCAGAAUUAAUGGAGCGCUCAGCGUGGAGAGGGGUGAAAAAGUCACAACUAAAGAGAGACGAGAUUUUUCUAGAAGACUGAUGUGACUGGACUCUUCCUCUCAUCCUAGGAGAGGAUAUGCUUAAUGUAAUAACCUACUGGAAGUUUCCGUGCCUCUCUGCCAAUCUCAACUUUUGUCACAAGAGUCCUGGAACAACAUUAUAUCCUGUUGCCAAUGUUCAAAAUUUUUGGGAGCAGCUAUUCCUCGGUGGUGACGUGACACACACGACUUGAGCUCUACAGGCUGCACACAAACACCGGCUGAGUCCGAAAGCGGGGAGAGGAAGGCAUCAAGACAUGUCUAAAUCCUAUGUCUGGUAACAUCCCGUCUACUAUAAUGCCUUAAUUGCUUUUGAAGGCAGCAGAGAUGUAUCCUCCACAUAUCCCACAAUGUGCGGUUUGACGAUGUGACUUGGAAGCCUAUCUGAAACCAGUUUCCUUUGAUGGAAUCUUCAUAUACCAUGCUGCCUUUGAAUGCUGUCAUUGGGAAACACAGACUCAGAGACCCUUUUCUCCCGGGGAGCCUUUGCAGGGCCAGAGGAAGGAUCCGUGUCAAGGGAGGAAGGUCUCUGUGUGUAUGUGUGCAUGUGACCAUGCAGCGUUCCUCAGCAGUUCUUCAGAAAAGGUUUGGCACCACUAGAACGUGGAGUACAUUUUCCUGUGGCUUAUGCGAUAUUGUUUGCAUGGGUGAGAGAAAAGCGGUCCCACUGAUACCUGUGACCUGGUCGACGAGAAUGCGAGAGGUGAUUAUCCGUCCAUACUGAGAGAAGAGCUGUUCCAGCUCCUUCUGGGUCAUGGUCUUGGGCAGCCCACUCACAUACAGAUUAGCGUCACGGAUAGAAGCCGAACUGGGCCGUGCAUACGAAACCUCAUACAGAUGCCAGAGGUCGUCUGCGCACCUGUUCUGUCUCGCACUGUGCUGGUGGGCUGUAUUCUUGCAUUGACCUCGAGAAGCUAGAGACUUCAGAAAGAUAAUGCCUCCAAAUCCUCCACUUAAGAACAAAGAAGAAUCCCUUUUACUUAUUAUAAUAUUUUGAAAAGGAACAACUUGCUGCGAGGGAUUCUCUGUGAUCCUUGCUCAUUCACAGAUAAGGGAUAUACACAUGACAUCUAAAGAGCUUUGCAAAUUGUCUCAAUGGAGGAAUGAAAAUGUAAAUUCAAUAUUAACGUGCACCACCUCUAACCCAGUUUCUGAGGAGAAACAAUAUACCCAAGAAAUUGGAUACUUAAAGUACAGUGGUUGAAGUUCAUGAACCCUUUGAACUACAGGCAUAAUUGCAGUCUAUUCUGAGAAGUCUCCAAAAGUCAUAAAGAAAAACAGAUUUUUUUUGUACAUAAUAUUAAAUCUCGAAAUGUAGCAAUGUCAUUUUUCUUACAGUCUUUAUUAUUCUAGGUUAAUGUUUUCUAAAUGUUUCUUGUCAUAUCAUUUAUAAUGUACUUCAUAUACAUUUUUAUAUUAUUGUUUAAUAAUAUUUUGUGUAUAUAGAAUGCGUGUGUAUAUUGUUUCUUGUUACAAACAAUAUAUAGGUUUUUUAUUUAUUUUUUACAAAUAUUUUAGAUUUUUUUCUAUGUUAUAUAUUUUUAAUAGUUUAUACAAAAUGUAAAACAUUAACCGAUUAAAUGCAGUUGGUAUCAUGAUUUUGUUUUUACAGGAUUACCUAUUGUUAAUGUAUAGAACCUUAUUGUAUUGUAUUGUCCUGUAAUUAUUUUAAGUAUUACCAAAUAUGUUUCUAUUAAAUACUUUCCCAGUUAAGAUCUUUAAAGCCUUUAUUAUUCUAGAUUAAUGUCAAAAUUUAAAUUUAUACAUAUUUAUACAUUGUUACAUAUCAAAAGUGAACAAUACUCUAUUUGUGAGUGUGUUUGUGUGUAUACAUACACACACACACACACACACACACACUCACUCACUCUAUAUUUACCAUAUACUAUUGUGUUUUAUUAUUGUAAUUCAUGUUUAGUUUGAAAUGUAAAAAAAAAAAAAUAUUAGAUUAUAAAGAGAUAAACAUUAACUUAGAUUAGUUAAUGCAGUUCGUAUAAUUUAUUUUUAUUUAUUUGACCUAAUUCUCUAUUAAAUGCUUUCCUAGUUCAGGUCUACUCAAAGCAUCAACGGUACAAAUUGAACAGUUUUAGUUUCUUCUCUACAGUUGUACAGAUUGACUUGUUUUUAGAAUAAGGAUCAUGAACCUCACUUAAAACCCACAGCAGUAAAUGAUAAAGGCUAAUUUGUUUUCAGAAAACACACAUGAUGGAAGAGCUUGUGUGCGAGUGUGAGAGAGAGAAGGCUGGCUGUCAUCUGUGCUGAAUAACACUUUGGAACCUUCUGUUUGUGCCUAGAGUGAGAGCCAAGCCAUCUAUAGCUCUCUCACCCUCGCAUUCCCCACACGCUCUAAUAUCAGCGCGCUGCGCUUACUAGCACCUUGGACAGCGCUCAUUCCACCAUACUCCCUCCAUCUAGCGCUCACCCGGCACGUUCUCACCUUUCUCGACUUGUCAAACUCUGCAGCACCUUGGACAGUGUCUGUCACACUCUGAAACACACUGUACUUGUUUUCAACUUCACAUACCAGUCUCUUUCUUUUUUUUACACACAUGAUGCAAUUUUCACCCAUUGCAACCAUUCUCAAUCAAAUCUCAAAGUCAUUGGCAAAUUUAAUACCAUAAUGUCACUGAACUUUACACAGUAGUAGAGAGAUAAUUAGGUAUUUUUUAAAAAGUAAUCCUUGUAGGAAACUUCAGUGCUGUGGCUCAUCCUGGAUUUUCUUAAAUGAGAAUUAUUUUCAAAAGGAUAGUUCACUCAAAAAUGAGAAUGAAUAACUUACCCUUAUGUCUUUCCAAACCCAUGAGACUUUUUUUUCAGUUCCACUAGAAUGUCAUAGUCCAUAUGACUGAUUUCAUACAAAUAUUAUUUUCAUUUCACAUGACUACUUUUAUUACAAAUAUUUCAUAAAAUAGUUUCAUGUGAUGAACGGACCACAAUUUUAGUCACCAUUCACCAAUAUUCUUUCCCUCCACACUGUUAACUGCUGUAACUGACUCACAGUGUUGGACUUGGGAACCUGAUCUUGUUGUUAAAAAAAUAAAUUGAUUCAUUUAAAAGAUCCUACUCAAAAGAAUGAUUUGUUCAUGAUUUAACCAUUGCUACUUCUCUCAUGAACUAUAAAAGAGUUCCUCAAGAUUUUCAGUAAAUAAUGACUUAAAUUCCAAUUUAUUAAUGACACAGAUGUGUUGUAUGUCUUUAGAAGACUUGGAAUUUCAAGUAUGUGAUUCUUCUGAAUUUAUACACAUUUUCAGAUUUUGCAAACUGAAGUAUGAGCCACACGAAUUGUGUAAAUCCAGUUAGAAAAAAUGCAUGCAUUUUAAAUGUUUGGAUACCUUUCCAAAUUUCUAAUGAGAAUUUUUUUAUUUUGAAACUUUAAGGUCUCCCAAGGUUUUUCCUCCAAAAUGAAAGCUUUAUAAUUUAUCAUUUAAAAGCAAAGUAAUAACGAUAUAAAUAUUAUUAUUGU